GAUGAAGAACGCAGCGAGAUGCGAUAAGUAAUGUGAAUUGCAGAAUUCAGUGAAUCAUCGAAUCUUUGAACGCACCUUGCACUCCUUGGUAUUCCGAGGAGUACGCCUGUUCGAGUGUUAUGAAGCUCUCAAAACGCAAUUGGCUUAAAACCUGAUUGUUGUUUUGGAUUUGAACUUUGCCGUGUUACAACGGCUGGUUUUAAAAGCAUUAGCUGGUACUAGAACGAAUUGGUUCUACUCAACGUGAUAAUUAUCUGAUCGUUGAGGACAUUCCUUUCACGAGGAAUGGCCAUAGUAAAUUCAAUGGACUGCUUCUAACUUGGCUUUAAUUCUUAAUUGGAUUAACCACUUUUCAAAUCUGACCUCGAAUCAGGUGGGACUACCCGCUGAACUUAAGCAUAUCAAUAAGCGGAGGA
rnacentral:misc_RNA from 1 species